ensembl:lncRNA
UAAUCGUUGACACAUUUUAUUUCAUAUUUGACAGUUUGAAUUAUUUUUGUUUAAGUUUGUUUAAGUCUCUUUUCUCCACCACUAUCUUCUGUCUGAGACUGAGAAGGAGGAGGAAGGGAAGAGGCGGGGUACUGGAGGAGAGGAGAGAAGGAGGAGAAAGGAGUUCUGGAGAAGAGGAGACGGGGUACUGGAGGAGGAGAGGAGGAGGAGAGGAGGAGUGGAGGAGACAGGGGAGGAGGAGAGGAGGAGAGGAGAGAGGAGGGAGGAGACAGGGUAUAGGAGGAGGAGGAGAGGUGAGAGGAGGAGGAGGAGGAGGAGGGGAGGGGAGGAGGAGGAGGAGGAGGAGACAGGGUACUAGAGAAAUGGAGGGGAGGGGAGGAGGAGAAGAGAUAAUGUUAAUAAGAACCAACAAAUACGCUACAAAUAAAAAGACAGAAUAGGGUAAAUACAGUUUUCAUACAGGAUACAUACACAGUUGUAAUACAGGGUACAUGCACAGUAUUUAUAUAGUUCAAUACUAGGAUACACAGUAAUAGGGUUCAUACAAAGUACAGUACUAGGGUAGAUACACAGUGCAUUAUUAGGAUGCAUACACAGUAUUCAUACAGGGUACAUAGACAGUAUAAUACUAGGGUACAUACACAGUACUAGGGUGCAGUAGAACCACAGGACAGUGCAGUGCUGUUCUCCAGCUCUUCCUCUGUUAUAUGAAGUGACACUCCGUCGGAUUGGUCCCACUUCCUGUCAGUCUGCUCAUUGUCCAAUGGGAGGAAGCCGCUAUAGGGCAGGAGCACCUCCUGGUCCAGGAGACGCUCCCCAUUGGAUGCUGGCAAAGGUGAAAGGUCAACAAUAUCUGCAGGAGAUAGAGACACGCACACACACACACACACACACACACACACACAAACACACACGUUAACAUACACACACCUUGGCGUACACAGAUACUGUGACUACAGGAACACACACUCACUCAGUCCGUCCAUGUUGACGGUCUCAAAAGUCCCAGGAGGGUCCGUCAGGAGUACAGGGUACUUGAAGUCAAAGGAAUACCACACACACACACACACACACACACACACACACACACACACACACACACACACACACACACACACACACACACACACACACACACACACACACACACACA